UGAGGCCAGAACUCUGCCCCUGGAGUUGACGAGGCUUUGCUGCUAUUGUACCCACUGAUAAAACCCCAAAUGGCUGGCUCCUUCUCCAAAGAUCAGAAACCAGGCUGCUCAUUUCCGGAAAAAUGCUUCGAAGAUUCCUAGAGGAGAAGCAAUGCGUGGAAAUGGUAGUGAAAAGACAGGAGGAAGGAGCUUUAAUGGUCCUUAAUGGGCAAGAAGUUAAUUUUUUGAGCCAUAGUCAUUUCCUUCAUGUUGGAAAACAGGAGUUAAUUGUGAACACAGAUGAGGAAGUGCUUCUUUGCAUGGGGAAGUCUUCUGUGAUGAAGCAUGGUAUCCAGAGGAGCUCUGCGUGGUCAUGAGAGGAAAAGAGAGAUGCUGGUCCAUGCUGUCCCCCGACUCUCCUUCUGGGCCCCACUUCAUCCAUAGAAAUUGCGGGGAGGAUGUGCGCGGCAGGUUGAGUGGUGACCCACAAAACCUGCCAGUGUGAUCUUACUUGGCGAGGGGGUCUUUGCAGAUGUAACUAAGGACUUGGAGAUGAGAAGAUCAUCCUGAAUUAUCUGGGUAGGCCUCCAAAUCCAGUGACAGAUGUCCUGAUAAAGAACACACAGAGGAGAAGAGAGACGUACAGAGGAAAAGGCAAAGGCAGAGCCAGGUGACACGAACCCAGGAAUGCUGACACCACCAGAAGGCUGCCUGGAGAAGUGACCAUCCUCUUGCUGGCAGAUCACCUGAGGCUCUGAAUUCCCUCUGCUGCCAUGCAUGGCCCACCUAUGGACAGUGGAGUGUGGUGGACAUGUAGGUAGGUCCUGAGGUCAGACUCCUCAUGCUCACACUCCAGCUCCUUUCACCUCCAACCCUGGGAGUUUCUUCAAGCUCUCUUAGCCUCAGCUUCUUCAUCUGUAAAAACUCUACUUUAUGGGUUCUUGUGAGGAUUGAAUGAGAUAAUCCAUAGAAAAUUCUUAGCACAGAGUCUAGCAGAUAGUCAACAGGCAAUGGAUAUUUGCUAUUUUUCUCACUACCACCCGUAAUUCAUGGUAUUCUGGGCCAAGUGGAAGAGCUGGCUAAUGCUCUGGCCAUCACGACCCCCAAAAUCCUUUUCAGCAUUGGUUUGGAGGGUAGCUCUGAGCACAGAGCAGAAAAAGCAGCCCAUGCUGGAAGCAAAAAGCCCCUGGUAUGGACCUGGCACAUAGUAAGUACACAAUAACUAUUAGUCACCCUCCCUGUCUUAAAAUUAUACAAUCAGCUCAAUGGCCUUCCUAUUCUCUCCUGUCAAGCCUUUGGAGUGAUGCUUAAACUGUCACCUUGGAGACAAUGUGCUCCAGGAGACAGGUUUCCAUUUUGAAUCUCUGAUGACUACACAGGCCGCCUCCAUUUUUUAAAAAAAAACAUCUUCAAAAUGUUGGGGCAACUGAAUGCCUGAAAGUUGAACAAUGGAUCCCCAUAGUAAUGACGUUGCACUCUCAGAAAGCUAAAUAUAUUAUAAAGUCCUUGAUCAUAAUUGUCCUUUUUGACAGUCCUUAACAGUGUUUUGUUACCUUUUGAAAUGAAUUUUGUUCUUUUAUUUUGCAAUUAAACACAUGACUAACUGGCUGAAGUCCAGUGAAUGGCCGAAAGAGAUUAGAGUCUCUGAAGCACUUGUAAUGGUUUCCAUCUGUGUCCAAAUAGGAUUAACUUUACAGCUUUUUAAAAAUCACUGGUAUCAGUUCAUCCAGUUUUCCAUUCUCCCGUUUUUAUGAAACAAUAAGGCAAAAACAUGCAAUUUUCAAAAACAUAUACUGUUGACCACAUAAUAAAAGGGAGCCUCCAAAACUGACCUGUUGGCUGGCAGGAUGCAUCACUGUUUCAAAGCUGGAAAUGUUUGGGUUUAGAGGAUGAAGGGCAAUUUGGGGUGUGAAGUAUGAAAGUGCUGAUUAACGUGUGAAAAAAAAUGGAGUUGAGACCCAUUUAUAUCUGCCCCUUCUUAAAUAUGACAAGAUAGAUACUAACUCCUACCAGAUGACCAAUGUGGCCUCUAAAAGGUCCUGGCUUCUGCCCAUGGCUAAGCCACUGAGAAUGCUGGCCUCAUGAUCAUGAAGCAUCUUGGUCCAACCACCUGGAAUGCCAGUGAGCAUUGCCCAGAUUGACUGGCCAUGAAGAACCAGGUGUUUCGUGCUCACUGCUGCCAACCACAGACAUGCCCAUGGCACCUGCCGGUGCUGGCUGAUGGCGAAGGGCCAGUCCUCAAUUUCAACCACAGGAGGGGCCUCACUUGCAGGCCACAGCUGAACUGUGUUGGGCCCAGGUGUUGCCUUCCCCUAAGACUCCAUUGGGAUUGGACGCACUGGAUCUUUCAAAGCUGUGUCAUCACUCAACAUGCAAACAAUGACUUUUAAUAAACUUCUGAAUUCUCA